rnacentral:rRNA from 1 species
UAACACAUGCAAGUCGAGCGGUAGCCAGGGGAGCUUGCUCCCUGGGUGACGAGCGGCGGACGGGUGAGUAAUGUCUGGGAAACUGCCUGAUGGAGGGGGAUAACUACUGGAAACGGUAGCUAAUACCGCAUAACGUCGCAAGACCAAAGAGGGGGACCUUCGGGCCUCUUGCCAUCAGAUGUGCCCAGAUGGGAUUAGCUAGUAGCUGGGGUAAUGGCUCACCUAGGCGACGAUCCCUAGCUGGUCUGAGAGGAUGACCAGCCACACUGGAACUGAGACACGGUCCAGACUCCUACGGGAGGCAGCAGUGGGGAAUAUUGCACAAUGGGCGCAAGCCUGAUGCAGCCAUGCCGCGUGUGUGAAGAAGGCCUUCGGGUUGUAAAGCACUUUCAGCGAGGAGGAAGGUGGUGAGCUUAAUACGCUCAUCAAUUGACGUUACUCGCAGAAGAAGCACCGGCUAACUCCGUGCCAGCAGCCGCGGUAAUACGGAGGGUGCAAGCGUUAAUCGGAAUUACUGGGCGUGAAGCGCACGCAGGCGGUUUGUUAAGUCAGAUGUGAAAUCCCCGGGCUCAACCUGGGAACUGCAUUUGAAACUGGCAAGCUAGAGUCUCGUAGAGGGGGGUAGAAUUCCAGGUGUAGCGGUGAAAUGCGUAGAGAUCUGGAGGAAUACCGGUGGCGAAGGCGGCCCCCUGGACGAAGACUGACGCUCAGGUGCGAAAGCGU